CUUGACUCUAGUCUGGCACCGUGAGGAGACAUGAGAGGUGUAGCAUAAGUGGGAGGCCCGCUCCGGCGGCGCCGGCCUUGAAAUACCACUACUCUGAUAGUUUCUUCACUUACUCGGUGAGGCGGAGGGCGCGCGCCGUUCCCUGCGUUCGGCGCGCGGUCUUCUGGAACCAAGGCCUCGCCCGGCCCGGACGGGCCGGGCGGCCGAUCCGAUCCGAGGACGCUGCCAGGCCGGGAGUUUGACUGGGGCGGUACAUCUGUCAAAGGAUAACGCAGGUGUCCUAAGGUCGGCUCAGCGAGGACGGAAACCUCGCGUGGAGCAGAAGGGCAAAAGCCGGCUUGAUCCCGAUGUCCAGUAAGCAUGGGGACCGCGCAAGCGCGGCCCAUCGAUCCUUUUGGCUCGGAGAGUUUCCGGCGAGAGGUGUCAGAAAAGUUACCACAGGGA
rnacentral:rRNA from 1 species